rnacentral:rRNA from 1 species
AGAGUUUGAUCCUGGCUCAGGAUGAACGCUGGCGGCGUGCUUAACACAUGCAAGUCGAACGGACUCAUAUUGAAACCUAGUGAUAUAUGAGUUAGUGGCGGACGGGUGAGUAACGCGUGGAGAACCUGCCGUAUACUGGGGGAUAACACUUAGAAAUAGGUGCUAAUACCGCAUAAGCGCACAGCUUCGCAUGAAGCAGUGUGAAAAACUCCGGUGGUAUACGAUGGAUCCGCGUCUGAUUAGCUGGUUGGCGGGGUAAAGGCCCACCAAGGCGACGAUCAGUAGCCGGCCUGAGAGGGUGAACGGCCACAUUGGGACUGAGACACGGCCCAAACUCCUACGGGAGGCAGCAGUGGGGAAUAUUGCACAAUGGGGGAAACCCUGAUGCAGCGACGCCGCGUGAGUGAAGAAGUAUUUCGGUACGUAAAGCUCUAUCAGCAGGGAAGAAAAUGACGGUACCUGACUAAGAAGCCCCGGCUAACUACGUG